rnacentral:tRNA from 1 species
GUCCAAAGUAGCCUAGUGGACAUGGCAUCUGCCCGGUAAGCGGAACACUGUGGGUUCGAUUCCCAUCCCUGGACA